UACGUAGGGGGCUAGCGUUGUCCGGAAUCAUUGGGCGUAAAGAGCGUGUAGGCGGCCCGGUAAGUCCGCUGUGAAAGUCGGGGGGCUCAACCCUCGAAUGCCGGUGGAUACUGUCGGGCUAGAGUGCGGAAGAGGCGAGUGGAAUUCCUGGUGUAGCGGUGAAAUGCGCAGAUAUCAGGAGGAACACCGAUUGCGAAGGCAGCUCGCUGGGACGUAACUGACGCUGAGA
rnacentral:rRNA from 1 species